rnacentral:rRNA from 1 species
CAGUAGCCACGGGAAUACAGAGGGUGCAAGCGUUAAUCGGAAUUACUGGGCGUAAAGCGCGCGUAGGUGGUUUGUUAAGUUGGAUGUGAAAUCCCCGGGCUCAACCUGGGAACUGCAUCCAAAACUGGCAAGCUAGAGUAUGGUAGAGGGUGGUGGAAUUUCCUGUGUAGCGGUGAAAUGCGUAGAUAUAGGAAGGAACACCAGUGGCGAAGGCGACCACCUGGACUGAUACUGACAUUGAGGUGCGAAAGCGUGGGGAGCAAACAGGAUUAGAUACCCCCGUAGUCCCUGUCUCUUAUAC